rnacentral:rRNA from 1 species
CUUUAAGUUUCAGUCUUGCGACCGUACUCCCCAGGCGGCAAGCUUAACGGCUUCCCUGCGACACUCCGAUCGCGAUUUGCGACCGGAUCAUCUAGCUUGCAUCGUUUACGGCUGGGACUACCCGGGUAUCUAAUCCGGUUCGCUCCCCCAGCUUUCAUCCCUCACCGUCGAGCGCGUUCUGGUGGACCGCCUUCGCCACUGGUGGUCUUCCACGGAUCAAAGGAUUUUACCCCUACACGUGGAGUACCGUCCACCUCUCCCGCCUCCUAGUCCUGCGGUAUCCUCUGCGGGCCAACGGUUAAGCCGUUGGAUUUGACAGAGGACCUACAGAACAGGCUACGGAUGCUUUAGGCCCAAUAAUCGCCCCGACCACUCGAGGAGCUGGUAUUA